rnacentral:rRNA from 1 species
UUCGAUUAAGCCAUGCGAGUCGAGAGUCUUAGGGACUCGGCGUACCGCUCAGUAACACGUGGGUAACCUGCCCUAUGCUGGGGAAUAACCUCGGGAAACUGAGAAUAAUGCCCCAUAGUCCACCAUGCCUGGAACGGUUGGUGGAUCAAAGCUCCGGCGGCAUAGGAUGGGCCUGCGGCGUAUCAGGUUGUAGGGGGUGUAAUGUACCCUCUAGCCAUCAACGCGUACGGGUGUUGGGAGACAUAGCCCGGAGAUGGAUUCUGAGACACGAAUCCAGACCCUACGGGGUGCAGCAGGCGCGAAAACUUGGCAAUGCGAGCAAUCGUGACCAGGGAACUCCAAGUGGCUGGGGUAAGACCCAGUCUUUUCUUGACUCUUCAAAGGUCUUGGAAUAAGGGGUGGGUAAGGACGGUGCCAGCCGCCGSGGUAAUACCGGCGCCUCAAGUGGUAGUCGAUUUUAUUGGGCCUAAAACGUCCGUAGCCUGUUUGGUACAUUCGUGGGUAGAUCAACCAGCUCAACUGAUUGAAUUCUGCGAGCACGGCCAGACUUGGGACCGGGAGAGGUGUGGGGUACGCUCAGGGUAGGGGUAAAAUCCUGUCAUCCUGAGCGGACCACCUGUUGCGAAGGCGCCACACUAGAACGGAUCCGACGGUCAGGGACGAAGCCUAGGGGCACGAACCGGAUUAGAUACCCGGGUAGUCUUAGGUGUAAACGCUGUGGACUUGGUGUUGGGGAUUCUCCGAGGAUUCUCAGUGCCGAAGCGAAGGUGAUAAGUCCACUGCCUGGGGAGUACGGUCGCAAGGCUGAAACUUAAAGGAAUUGGCGGGGGAGCACCGCAACCUGAGGAUUGUGCG